rnacentral:ncRNA from 2 species
UUCACCCCCGUGGGAGAGCUUCGCGGCUAGCGGGUCUAGUUUGGCGAAGCGCCGAAGGCGCAACCGGCUCGGAAACGCUCAGGCCCCCGGACCGCGGGCGGACG